AGCGAACGCUGGCGGCAGGCUUAACACAUGCAAGUCGAGCGGGCAUCUUCGGAUGUCAGCGGCAGACGGGUGAGUAACACGUGGGAACGUACCCUUCGGUUCGGAACAACUCUGGGAAACUGGAGCUAAUACCGGAUACGCCCUUAUGGGGAAAGGUUUACUGCCGAAGGAUCGGCCGGCGUCUGAUUAGCUAGUUGGUGGGGUAACGGCCUACCAAGGCGACGAUCAGUAGCUGGUCUGAGAGGAUGAUCGGCCACACUGGGACUGAGACACGGCCCAGACUCCUACGGGAGGGAGCAGUGGGGAAUAUUGCACAAUGGGCGGAAGCCUGAUGCAGCAGCGCCGCGGGCGGGAUGACGGCCUUCGGGUUGGAAACCGCUUUCGCCUGGGACGAAGCGUGAGUGACGGUAAUGGGUAAAGAAGCACCGGCUAACUACGUG
rnacentral:rRNA from 1 species